GUGCUCACUCGGGCAGCACAUACACUAAAAUUGGGACGAUACCGAGAAGAUAAGCAUGGCCCCUGGACAAGGGUGACACGCAAAUUCAUGAAGGGUUCCAUAUAUUU